rnacentral:rRNA from 1 species
UGGGGAAUAUUGGACAAUGGGGGGAACCCUGAUCCAGCCAUGCCGCGUGUGUGAAGAAGGCCUUUUGGUUGUAAAGCACUUUAAGCGAGGAGGAGGCUACCGAGAUUAAUACUCUUGGAUAGUGGACGUUACUCGCAAAAUAAGCACCGGCUAACUCUGUGCCAGCAGCCGCGGUAAUACAGAGGGUGCAAGCGUUAAUCGGAUUUACUGGGCGUAAAGCGCGCGUAGGUGGCCAAUUAAGUCAAAUGUGAAAUCCCCGAGCUUAACUUGGGAAUUGCAUUCGAUACUGGUUGGCUAGAGUAUGGGAGAGGAUGGUAGAAUUCCAGGUGUAGCGGUGAAAUGCGUAGAGAUCUGGAGGAAUACCGAUGGCGAAGGCAGCCAUCUGGCCUAAUACUGACACUGAGGUGCGAAAGCAUAGGGAGCAAACAGG